rnacentral:tRNA from 1 species
GCUGGAAUACAGCUCAGUGGUAGAGCACCUGUCUGACAUGCAUGAGGCCCAAGUUCAAUUUCCAGCA